GAUAGAAAGCAUCACCCUAACGCGCCCAAUCUCGUCUGAUCUUGGAAGCUAAGCAGGGUCAGGCCUGGUUAGUACUUGGAUGGGAGAAAGCAUCACAUUCAUCA
rnacentral:rRNA from 1 species